CGUUAGGUGUGGUCGGUUCUUUAUGUCGGGCGGGCGGCUGUGCUGUCAUUAAUUGGGUGGGCUGCUGCUGACUGAGUCCACGCCUCAACAAAAAAAAAGGCGGAACGUUUGGGCUUCGGCCCUGAUUUAGUAGUCCUUUUUUUUCUUUUAAACCCAUUCCUUAAUACUGAAUAUACUGUGGGGACGAAAGUCUCUGCUUUUAACUAGAUAGCAACUUUCAGCAGUGGAUGUCUAGGCUCGCACAUCGAUGAAGAACGCUGCGAACUGCGAUACGUAAUGCGAAUUGCAGGAUUCAGUGAGUCAUCGAAAUUUUGAACGCAUAUUGCACUUCCGGGUUAGUCCUGGAAGUAUGCCUGUAUCAGUGUCCGUACAUUAAACUUGACUUUCUUCCUUCCGUGUAGUCGGUGGAGGAGAUGUCAGAUGUGAAGUGUCUUGCGAUUGGUCUUCGGACCGGCUGCGAGUCCUUUUAAAUGUACUAAACUGAACUUCUCUUUGCUCGAAAAGUGGUGGCGUUGCUGGUUGUGAAGGCUGCUAUUGUGGCAAAUUGGCGACUGGUUUGUCUGCUGCGGCGUUAAUGGAAGAGUGUUCGAUUCGUGGUAUGGUUGGCUUCGGCUGAACAAUGCACUUAUUGGACGUUUUUCCUGCUGUGGCGUGAUGGACUGGUGAACCAUAGCUCGGUGGCUUGGCUUUUGAAUUGGCUUUGCUGUUGCGAAGUAGGGUGGCAGCUUCGGUUGUCGAGGGUCGAUCCAUUUGGGAACUUAAUGUGUACUUCGGUAUGCAUCUCAAUUGGACCUGAAGCAGGCGAAGGACCUCC
rnacentral:rRNA from 1 species